UCGAAAUAUAAUUUUACCUGGGUUGUUAAGGUAUAUAUAAAGACAUUUUUAUACAAAACUCCUACCAAUAACCUCACAGCAACAAACUGACCAGGUGUCCAAUUUGGAAAUACACAUCGGACAGCUGCUUUGCGGUAAGAAGCUUUAAACAACUAUAAAAGCCCCCAAUCUGAUUGAAGGAGGAGAGAUUUUUCGGAAGAACAAAACUUAUACUUUCAAUUGUAAUAUUCUACAACUCUUAUACCUUCGAUUAUAAUAUUCUACAACUACGAGUCAAAACAUUGGUGAACCUGACGUGAACGGAUAUCCUUUUAACGUCGUCGAAUCAACACCUUAAUUAAGAACAAGUUAUAGUACCGAUCGCUAUGGUAGAGACCGCAACCUACGAUUCAGAAAAUAAGAAAGAGAAAAGUGAAACAGGAGGAACUAGGUCAAGAAAUUGAACCCGGAAGCCCCUUGAAAAUAACGAUAGAGAAAUCGGCACUGGUAAAGGUAAGGAAAAACAAGAAAAAAGGAGCCCAGAACCGGACAGCGAUG
rnacentral:lncRNA from 1 species